GUGUUUUGUUUCAGCAGUCUGUGGUGUUUCUUAUAGACAUUUCAAUAAUCUGGAUUGAACCCAUGACGGUUGAUGCAACAGCCAGUUGCUGUGACCACUGUGCAUUGGCAAAUUUGCAGACCUUAAGUAAAACGUAUCCACCAUGCUAUAAAGAAGUACCGUGUUAAUAAAUAAUGAUGAUGACGAUGGAGACGUGAUCGCGUGUAGCUCUGACAGCGAUUCUGACAGUGAAUCAGAGAAAGAGAUGAAAGCUACUCGAGCUGAAGCGAGAAUGAAAAUGUAGUUAUUUUUAAUAACUUCAUUGAAAUAAAAGUUAAACAAUUAAAAAAUUAUGCUAGAAUAAA